AUUGAACGCUGGCGGCAUGCCUUACACAUGCAAGUCGAGCGGCAGCGCGGGGGCAACCCUGGCGGCGAGCGGCGAACGGGUGAGUAAUGCAUCGGAACGUGUCCUCUUGUGGGGGAUAACCAGUCGAGAGACUGGCUAAUACCGCAUGAGCACGACAGUGGAAAGCGGGGGACCGCAAGGCCUCGCGCGAGAGGAGCGGCCGAUGCCGGAUUAGCUAGUUGGCGGGGCAAUGGCCCACCAAGGCGACGAUCCGUAGCUGGUCUGAGGGGACGACGAGCCACACUGCGACUUAGACCCGGCCCAGCAUCCUACGGAGGGCAGCAGUGAGGAAGUUUGGACAACGGGGGCAACCCUGUUCCAGCGAUGCCGCGUGUGUGAAGAAGGCCUUCGGGUUGUAAAGCACUUUCGGACGGAACGAAAUCGCGCGGGUGAACAUCCCGCGUGGAUGACGGUACCGUAAGAAGAAGCACCGGCUAACUACGUGCCAGCAGCCGCCGUAAGAC
rnacentral:rRNA from 1 species